CCAGUUCUGUGUUGAAUUUGCAAUUAUAAAUACUUGCAGGAAGCGACGGCGAAGAACAAGGAUAAAGCCAAGAAAACGGACAGUGACAGUGAGAUGAGUGACCAGGAAGCGCGAAGAAGAAAACAGGGAAAGGGAAAGGGAAAAGAACCAAGCAAACGGACUAGUGAGACCAGUGAGCAUUGAGCAGGAAGAGAACCAACAAGAAGGGGCAGGAGUACACUGACGCGCACGACCAAGACCACUGCAUUCCAUU